GACGAACGCUGGCGGCGUGCUUAACACAUGCAAGUCGAACGGUAAGGCCUUCCGGGGUACACGAGUGGCGAACGGGUGAGUAACACGUGGGUGAUCUGCCCUGCACUUCGGGAUAAGCCCGGGAAACUGGGUCUAAUACCGGAUAGGACUGCGCGGUGCAUGCCGUGUGGUGGAAAGAUUUAUCGGUGCAGGAUGGGCCCGCGGCCUAUCAGCUUGUUGGUGGGGUAAUGGCCUACCAAGGCGACGACGGGUAGCCGGCCUGAGAGGGCGACCGGCCACACUGGGACUGAGACACGGCCCAGACUCCUACGGGAGGCAGCAGUGGGGAAUAUUGCACAAUGGGCGCAAGCCUGAUGCAGCGACGCCGCGUGAGGGAUGACGGCCUUCGGGUUGUAAACCUCUUUCAGCAGGGACGAAGCGUGAGUGACGGUACCUGCAGAAGAAGCACCGGCCAACUACGUG
rnacentral:rRNA from 1 species